UGAUGAUAGUGAGGGCAUUUUCUGAGCAUACCCUUAAAUCUCUCUUAAACUUGGUAAAAAUUCUCUCCUUCUUUCUGUUUGAAACUCAAGAUCUUACUUCUCAAGUG
rfam:Capsicum annuum cultivar Zunla-1 chromosome 11, whole genome shotgun sequence